GACGGAGGGUGCUAGCGUUGUUCGGAAUUACUGGGCGUAAAGGGCGCGUAGGCGGCCCUGUCAGUCGGGUGUGAAAGCCCGGGGCUCAACCCCGGAACGGCACCCGAGACGGUGGGGCUGGAGACCGGGAGAGGAGGGUGGAAUAGCCAGUGUAGAGGUGAAAUUCGUAGAUAUUGGCUGGAACACCGGUGGCGAAAGCGGCUCUCUGGCCCGGUUCUGACGCUGAGGCGCGAAAGCGUGGGGAGCAAACAGG
rnacentral:rRNA from 1 species